rnacentral:rRNA from 1 species
UGCUGGAGGUAUCAGAAGUGCGAAUGCUGACAUAAGUAACGAUAAAGCGGGUGAAAAGCCCGCUCGCCGGAAGACCAAGGGUUCCUGUCCAACGUUAAUCGGGGCAGGGUGAGUCGACCCCUAAGGCGAGGCCGAAAGGCGUAGUCGAUGGGAAACAGGUUAAUAUUCCUGUACUUGGUGUUACUGCGAAGGGGGGACGGAGAAGGCUAUGUUAGCCGGGCGACGGUUGUCCCGGUUUAAGCAUGUAGGCUGGUUAUCCAGGCAAAUCCGGAUAAUCAAGGCUGAGGUGUGAUGACGAGGCACUACGGUGCUGAAGUAACAAAUGCCCUGCUUCCAGGAAAAGCCUCUAAGCAUCAGGUAACAUCAAAUCGUACCCCAAACCGACACAGGUGGUCAGGUAGAGAAUACCAAGGCGCUUGAGAGAACUCGGGUGAAGGAACUAGGCAAAAUGGUGCCGUAACUUCGGGAGAAGGCACGCUGGUGUGUAGGUGAAGUCCCUGCGGAUGGAGCUGAGACCAGUCGAAGAUACCAGCUGGCUGCAACUGUUUAUUAAAAACACAGCACUGUGCAAACACGAAAGUGGACGUAUACGGUGUGACGCCUGCCCGGUGCCGGAAGGUUAAUUGAUGGGGUUAUCCGUAAGGAGAAGCUCUUGAUCGAAGCCCCGGUAAACGGCGGCCGUAACUAUAACGGUCCUAAGGUAGCGAAAUUCCUUGUCGGGUAAGUUCCGACCUGCACGAAUGGCGUAAUGAUGGCCAGGCUGUCUCCACCCGAGACUCAGUGAAAUUGAACUCGCUGUGAAGAUGCAGUGUACCCGCGGCAAGACGGAAAGACCCCGUGAACCUUUACUAUAGCUUGACACUGAACAUUGAGCCUUGAUGUGUAGGAUAGGUGGGAGGCUUUGAAGCGUGGACGCCAGUCUGCGUGGAGCCAACCUUGAAAUACCACCCUUUAAUGUUUGAUGUUCUAACGUUGGCCCCUUAUCGGGGUUGCGGACAGUGUCUGGUGGGUAGUUUGACUGGGGCGGUCUCCUCCCAAAGCGUAACGGAGGAGCACGAAGGUUAGCUAAUCCUGGUCGGACAUCAGGAGGUUAGUGCAAUGGCAUAAGCUAGCUUGACUGCGAGCGUGACGGCGCGAGCAGGUGCGAAAGCAGGUCAUAGUGAUCCGGUGGUUCUGAAUGGAAGGGCCAUCGCUCAACGGAUAAAAGGUACUCCGGGGAUAACAGGCUGAUACCGCCCAAGAGUUCAUAUCGACGGCGGUGUUUGGCACCUCGAUGUCGGCUCAUCACAUCCUGGGGCUGAAGUAGGUCCCAAGGGUAUGGCUGUUCGCCAUUUAAAGUGGUACGCGAGCUGGGUUUAGAACGUCGUGAGACAGUUCGGUCCCUAUCUGCCGUGGGCGCUGGAGAAUUGAGGGGGGCUGCUCCUAGUACGAGAGGACCGGAGUGGACGCAUCACUGGUGUUCGGGUUGUCAUGCCAAUGGCACUGCCCGGUAGCUAAAUGCGGAAGAGAUAAGUGCUGAAAGCAUCUAAGCACGAAACUUGCCCCGAGAUGAGUUCU